rnacentral:rRNA from 1 species
CACCGCGGUUACACGGGGGGCCUAAGUUGACAGAUGACGGCGUAAAGCGUGGUUAAGAGCACUCCCACAGUAAAGCGAAACCAUUUCAAAGCAGUUAUACGCGAUUGAAUCAUGAACCCCAACAACGAAAGUGGCUUUAUAAUUCUGACCCCACGAAAGCUAAGAAA